UUAAACUCUAUCAAAAAAUGAUUUAGAACAGCGAUGUCAACAGCAGCUUUGUCCAGGAGCAGAGGAGUGGCUGGUGUCAGAACCACUAAAGGCCUGUUCUCCAUCUUCACUCUGCUGUGUCUGGUUUGUCUCUCAAGUUCUGAAGUGGUAACCAAGGACCAACUGAAAAGGCUCAAGGAAAACAUUGAGAAAGAACAACAACUACUGAACAUGCAGAAGGCAUCAUUGGCCACCUCUUCACAGCUCAUGAAUUAUUAUGUGAACCUCAUGGACCCACUGAAGGGAAUAGUGAAGACAACCUCAGAAGACUCAUCUGAUGUCUUUCCACCACUGGAGGGACUAAUGGACUGCAUCAAGGACUUUGCGGAGAAAGCCAAGACUUUUGUAGAUGGGGAGAAUGAGGAGUUGGGUGAAAAGAUAGAGAAGAAUGAACAGACUCUGAGAAACAUUAGGAAAUUAAUCAAUUUAAUUGAGGAGAAAGAAGCUGAAUUGUAGCUCCCAUGUCAGUCAGCGCCUCUGUCUCUGAUGUUGCAUCUAUUGUACCCACUAAGUUUCUCUUUUUUAUCGUUCAGCUUCAUUUUACGGUUUCAUGAACUCAUGAAUUCCUUUUAUUGUUUGACAUAAGAUAGGAUGUUAAAGAGAGGGAUUCUCUAUUGAAACAGAUAGUGUGGAUAAUGUGUUGAUAUCUUCUUAAUGAAUACUUUAACAAUAAAGAAUUACAUUUUGGAAAGUGUAAAACAAUGUUUCUGAAAAAUGACACAAAAUAAAAUGAUUUAUUAACUGCUGUUUCCAGUUAGCUAAAAAUACUGAGGUAGAUUACAGAAGUAUGUCAUUGUUUUGUUUCCUUUUGCUGGUUUAAUUUCAGUUUCCUUACAUUCACCACAAUACAAACUAUAAUAUCCAGUCUACAUUCUUACAUCUGUGACUUGUAAGGUUAUUGUUUAGAUAUCAUAUAUACAUUCUAGGAAAAGCUGUUAAAAAUACAUUGUAUUGUAUAUCAAAUUCGGCCUGUGUGCAACCCAAAUAAAUUCCAUACAUAGGAAUGCAUACACAAUCC
rnacentral:lncRNA from 1 species